rnacentral:misc_RNA from 1 species
GGAAGUAAAAGUCGUAGCAAGGUUUCCGUAGGUGAACCUGCGGAAGGAUCAUUAUUGUAUAACCGAGGUGCGAGGGCUGUCGCUGACCCGAAAGGUCGUGCACGCCCGAGUGCCCUCACACACAUCCAUCUCACCCCUAUGUGCAUCACCGCGUGGGUCCCCCUUUGGCUUGUUCGGAGGGGGGCUUACGUUUUCACACAAACUUUGUAUGCAGUGUAGAAUGUAUUUUUUGUUUUUGCGAUCACGCAAUCAAUACAACUUUCAACAACGGAUCUCUUGGCUCUC